GAUGAACGCUGGCGGCGUGCCUAAUACAUGCAAGUCGAGCGAACGGACGAGAAGCUUGCUUCUCUGAUGUUAGCGGCGGACGGGUGAGUAACACGUGGAUAACCUACCUAUAAGACUGGGAUAACUUCGGGAAACCGGCGCUAAUACCGGAUAAUAUUUUGAACCGCAUGGUUCAAAAGUGAAAGACGGUCUUGCUGUCACUUAUAGAUGGAUCCGCGCUGCAUUAGCUAGUUGGUAAGGUAACGGCUUACCAAGGCAACGAUGCAUAGCCGACCUGAGAGGGUGAUCGGCCACACUGGAACUGAGACACGGUCCAGACUCCGACGGGAGGCAGCAGUAGGGAAUCUUCCGCAAUGGGCGAAAGCCUGACGGAGCAACGCCGCGUGAGCGAUGAAGGUCUUCGGAUCGUAAAACUCUGUUAUUAGGGAAGAACAUAUGUGUAAGUAACUGUGCACAUCUUGACGGUACCUAAUCAGAAAGCCACGGCUAACUACGUG
rnacentral:rRNA from 1 species